rnacentral:tmRNA from 1 species
GGGGAUGUAAAUGGUUUCGACAGUAAUUAUGAAUUAUAAGUAGCAAGUAGUGGAUGGUCGCUUUGGCCACUAUAAAAAAGCGAAAAUAAAAAUAAACGCUGAUAAUAAAACAGAAUUAGCAUACGCUGCUUAAUUGUAGCGACAUCUUACCUUAAAUCCCACAUUUAAGGAUAAGGUGAUGACUUUGUGGGAAACAAAUCUAUUUUGUGUUUCGAAAAAUAGAGGGUAUUUUAGAAACUACUAUAUAUAAACUUUGUUUGUUAAGUAGAUAUAUAGGAAAAAUAAUAACAAACUAAACUUGUAGAAGCUUGUAAGGAAAAAUUAUUGGACAGGAGUUCGACUCUCCUCAUCUCCACCA